UAUGCAUUUAUAGAUGCUAAACCAGUCUUACUCACUCUCUCACGCUCGACAGCUGAAUUGUUUAUAAAUAAUUAUUCUACUUUUGCUAAUCGUUUACAACCUUUGCUUACACAAGUGCACAUUUACGUAUACUAAUACGUUUCUGAAAAAUUGUACACAUAAAUACGUGAAGCCCAUAGAUUCUCCCAUGGGGGCGACACAAACGACCUUCUGCAACGAGGCGGCUGUCCCGAUAAGCACGGGCUUAUCGGUCUGGGUAACAUACUACUUCACCGAGACGCUCCUCCCCGGACAGUGCGUCACCUAUAACGUGGGUCGCGUCUGGUUCACGGCGUUUGCGCACCUAUCCUCCGGCUACGAACCGUGGUUCGGCACCAACCAAAUUUACUUCCUGACCAACACCACAACCGCGGUGGGGGAACGAUUUUAUGUUAAUCCGGAAAUUUAUUAUCCCCCGGAAUUGAAAUACUUACACGUCACUAGGGAAGAGGUCGACUUAAUCAUCAAGGAAAGUGACGAUUUCGUUCCAGAUAAUUUGGAAACAGUCGAACGUGCCAUUUACGACGCUUGGGACAGCGUCUAUAUCAAAUUGAUGGGUUAUUAUGCCGGAAGUAGUCACAAAAUCAAGGUCACGGGCGGACCGAAGAGGACCAUUCCGAAAUUUGACGAGGAUAAUCAUCAAGUGCAAAUUUUACCUUUCAGGUACAAGUUUGACCCGUUCCAGUUGCACAUUGAUUCUUGAGCGGAUUAUUUAUGGGAACGUCCAUGUAUUAUGUACGUUGUUAAAAAAGGCUUAUUUUUUAACCUCGCACCCGCCCUUGCACAAUCUUACUCAUGUUGAACUUAGAUAGGCGAACCAGUUACCACUUGUUUGAUAACGUAAUAUAUGGACGUUCCAUAUUUUUUGCAGUAUAAUGAUUCGUUAUCAUGACAGGAAUAAUAUUUACAUAACUAACAAGUGUCAAAUUGACACUGUCAAUUAGAAGGAAAAGCGAAAUAAAUUAUAAAUCAUUAUUAAUUAA